rnacentral:rRNA from 1 species
ACUCCUACGGGAGGCAGCAGUGGGGAAUCUUAGACAAUGGGGCAACCCGUGCAUCUAGCCAUGCCGCGUGAGUGAUGAAGGCCUUAGGGUCGUAAAGCUCUUUCGCCAGGGAUGAUAAUGACAGUACCUGGUAAAGAAACCCCGCCGUACAUCCGUGCCAGCAGCCGCGGUAAUACGGAGGGGGUUAGCGUUGUUCGGAAUUACUGGGCGUAAAGCGCGCGUAGGCGGAUCAG